GAUGAACGCUGGCGGCGUGCUUAACACAUGCAAGUCGAACGGUGAAGGAGAGCUUGCUCUCCGGAUCAGUGGCGAACGGGUGAGUAACACGUGAGCAAUCUGCCCCUGACUCUGGGAUAAGCGCUGGAAACGGCGUCUAAUACCGGAUACGAGCUGCGAAGGCAUCUUCAGCAGCUGGAAAGAACUUCGGUCAGGGAUGAGCUCGCGGCCUAUCAGCUAGUUGGUGAGGUAAUGGCUCACCAAGGCGUCGACAGGUAGCCGGCCUGAGAGGGUGACCGGCCACACUGGGACUGAGACACGGCCCAGACUCCUACGGGAGGCAGCAGUGGGGAAUAUUGCACAAUGGGCGCAAGCCUGAUGCAGCAACGCCGCGUGUGGGACGACGGCCUUCGGGUUGUAAACCUCUUUUAGCAGGGAAGAAGCGAAAGUGACGGUACCUGCAGAAAAAGCACCGGCUAACUACGUGCCAGCAGCCGCCGUAA
rnacentral:rRNA from 1 species